UUCUGUCCGCAGCCCCUGAACGGGUCGCUGACGCUGGAGUUGGUGAACGAGAAGUUCUGGAAGCUCAGCAAACCCCUGGAGCUCUACUACGCCCCCACCAAGGAGCAGAAAUAGCCAAAAACGCCCAAAACGCCCCAAAAUCCAACCUGGGGACACCGAAAUCCAACCUGGGGACACCAACAUUCAAUCUGGGGACACAAAAAUGUCCCAAAAUUCAAUUUGGGGACAUUGAAAUGCCCCAAAAUCCAACCUGGGGGGACACAAAAAUGUCCCAAAAUUCAACUUGGGGGACCCCAAAAUCCAACCUGGGGACACCGAAAUACCCCAAAAUUUAAUUUGGGGACAUUAAAAUAUCCCAAAAUCGAACCUGGGGACCCCGAAAUCCAAUUUGGGGACACCAGAAUACCCCAAAAAUUCAUCCUGGGGAUCCCAAAAUUCAAUCUGGGGACACCAAAAUACCCCAAAAUUUAAUUUGGGAACACUGAAAUACCCGAAAAUCCAACCGGGGGACACCGAAAUCCAACCUGGGGACACCAAAAUACCCCAGAAUUCAAUUUGGGGGCACAAAAAUGUCCCAAAAUCCAAUUUGGGGACACCAAAAUCCAACCUGGGGACACAGAAAUUUCCCAAAAUUAAAUUUGGGAACCCCAAAAUCCCCUCCCAGGGGGGCUCAGAUUUGGGUGGGAAUUUUGGGGAAUUUUUGGGUGAAAUUUUCAGUAAAUUUCAGAAUUUUGGGGGGAAUUUUUGGGUGAAGUGUUCAGUAAAUUUCAGAAAUUUUGGGGUCAAAUUUUCCUUAAAUUUCAGGAAUUUUUGGGUGAAAUUUUCAGUAAAGUUCAGGAAUUUUUGGGUGAAAGUUUCAGUAAAUUUCAGGAAUUUUUGGGUGAAAAUUUCAGUAAAGUUCAGAAAUUUUUGGGGAAUUUUUGGGUGAAAUUUUCAGUAAAUUUGAAGAAUUUUUGGGGGA
rnacentral:lncRNA from 1 species